UACAGAGGUGGCAAGCGUUGUUCGGAUUUACUGGGCGUAAAGGGCGUGCAGGCGGUUUGUUAAGUGCAGGGUGAAAGCUCCCGGCUCAACUGGGAGAGGUCCUUGCAUACUGGCAAACUCGAGGGAGGCAGAGGAAAGUGGAAUUCCCGGUGUAGUGGUGAUAUGCGUAGAUAUCGGGAGGAACACCUGUGGCGAAGGCGGCUUUCUGGGCCUUACCUGACGCUGAGACGCGAAAGCGUGGGGAGCGAACCGG
rnacentral:rRNA from 1 species